rnacentral:ncRNA from 1 species
GAAAAGGCAAAACAUGUGAAAGCAUGUGACGCAAAGCAUCCAGCCUAAGGGGGAUAACCCUAGGGUAGUGGGGUUACC